UUCUUGGGAGCUUAAUUUCAGCUAAAAGAAUUUGUUACAGAUCGUUACUCAUCAUAUCAUUCGGUGUUCAAGUAUCAUGUAUAUGAUUUCUUCAAGGAGAAUUGUUGAGCUUAAGGCAAAUGAAGGAAAACAGACCCUGAAAGAGAUACCAUAUGCCUUGGCACUUCAAAUAUUUAUGGAUGCCAAUGUAUAUUUAGUUCCUUCAAUAAGCACCUUAGAUUCUCGUUGAAUUGAUAUGUGUCCAGUUAAUAAAAAAUACCAUCUUGAGCA